rnacentral:lncRNA from 1 species
AUCAACAACAACAACACACACACACACACACACACACACACACACACACACCACAUGAUUGCUUGCUUGCUUAGGGAGGAAUCAGAGCUUCAAAAGUGAGCUGAUUCCAGCCACCAGCUGUCAUCAUAUGAGGAGCUCUUGUGAGUUGAUCGCCCAUGAAAGAGGAAUGAGCCUCUAAACAUGGCCACAGCUCAGUGAUACUGACCAACCAGACAUACCUUUGCUGGACCUAUGCAAACAUGAAACAGACCCUAAGAUGUGGAACUGCCUGAAGUGAGCAAUCUGACCACCAGGGGGCAGCAUGAGUCCAUCGCUUUGUCUGAAAACAGACAGGUCCUAGUCAGCGGCCCUCCUCUCCAAGCAAGCUGAGUCUGCACGUUGGAGUCAUCUGAUGAGCUUUUAGAAAACUGCAGGUGGGUGGGCUCACUUCAAUUGCCAUCUCCUGUCUUCGGGAGUGGGGCGUGGACAUCGCCAUUAUUUAAAAGUUCCUCAGGUGAG